rnacentral:rRNA from 1 species
AUUGAACGCUGGCGGCAUGCUUUACACAUGCAAGUCGAACGGCAGCGCGGGCUUCGGCCUGGCGGCGAGUGGCGAACGGGUGAGUAAUGCAUCGGAACGUGCCCAGUAGUUGUGGAUAGCCCGGCGAAAGCCGGAUUAAUACCGCAUACGACCUGAGGGUGAAAGCGGGGGACCGAAAGGCCUCGCGCUAUUGGAGCGUCCGAUGUCGGAUUAGCUAGUUGGUGGGGUAAAGGCUUACCAAGGCGACGAUCCGUAGCUGGUCUGAGAGGACGACCAGCCACACUGGGACUGAGACACGGCCCAGACUCCUACGGGAGGCAGCAGUGGGGAAUUUUGGACAAUGGGGGCAACCCUGAUCCAGCCAUGCCGCGUGCGGGAAGAAGGCCUUCGGGUUGUAAACCGCUUUUGUACGGGAAGAAAUCCUCUGGGCUAAUACCCCGGGGGGAUGACGGUACCGGAAGAAUAAGCACCGGCUAACUACGUG